rnacentral:sRNA from 1 species
UCAAACAUGUUUAUAUGGGGACGAAGUCCCCAAUAACAAUAGAAAAUUCAAUAAAAAAAUAAAUUCGGGAAAAUUUCCCGAAUUUUUCAUUGUA